CUCCUGAGUUACCAAUGGAAUUAUCGAUAGCGGUUAAUACUUCUCUUAUUGCCCAGGCACGGCGUGGGAUUUUUUGCACAGAGCCUUUUCGGAUACCAUUUGCUGGAAAGGUUGAUAUAUGUUGUUUUGACAAGACAGGGACACUUACAUCUGAUGAUAUGGAAUUUUCUGGAGUUGUUGGGUUGAAUGGAACUACAGAUUUGGAGU